AAAAGUCAUUCCAAAGGUUACCGCACGUUAUCACCAAUUUCGAAACCUGAGGGAUGCCGUGCGGAUGCACUAUAAUUGGCAGAUCGGGAUGGCCGUUGAUCCUUUAAAUCACUCGUCUCUACCUUCGAGCAGACGUGCAGGAGAGAGACUACAGAAAUUUACUUUGCCAUAAGUGACAUUUUGCUUCAGCCUUACUGUUAACAUGAUUAACAUGAUGUCGAAAACACUGCGGGUUUUGCUGUGCGUUGCAUUGAUUAUCUGCACAUUGACUCCUCAAAUUGAAGGAACUACAAUCGAAGAGGCACUACAAACAGCAACAACUGCUGAACCUACAACUGAUCCAUUCAGAUUCCUGCUCUUGUGUGCACCUGGUUCCGA